rfam:Oryza sativa (indica cultivar-group) chromosome 7, whole genome shotgun sequence.
AAAAAAACAAAACUUAGAUUUUUGUGUCCAACAUUUUAUUGUUCGUUUUAUAUGAAAUUUUUUAUAAUUAGUAUUUUCAUUGUUGUUAGAUGAUAAAACAUGAUUAAUACUUUAUGAAUAACUUGUCUUUUUUAAUUUUUUUCUAAAUAAUAUGGACGGUUAAACGUUGGACACAGAAACCCAC